GUCGAGAACAAGGCCCGCAGUGCAGGGAAGCCGGUGUGAGUCCGGCACGGUCCCGCCACUGUGACCGGGGAGCGCGUCACCGCAGUACCAGCCACUGGCAGCCAGCCGGGAAGGCCGGGUGGCGCGCGCUGAUCCGGGAGUCAGGAUACCGACUGCGGGUGUUCCGUGUUG
rnacentral:ncRNA from 1 species